rnacentral:rRNA from 1 species
GACGAACGCUGGCGGCGUGCUUAACACAUGCAAGUCGAGCGGUAAGGCCCUUUCGGGGGUACACGAGCGGCGAACGGGUGAGUAACACGUGGGUGACCUGCCCUCAGCUCUGGGAUAAGCCUGGGGAAACCGGGUCUAAUACUGGAUAUGACUCCAUGACGCAUGUUGUGGGGUGGAAAGCCUUGUGCGGCUGAGGAAUGGGGCCCGCGGCCUAUCAGCUUGUUGGUGGGGUCGANGGCCUACCAAGGCGACGACGGGUAGCCGGCCUGAGAGGGCGACCGGCCACACUGAGACUGAGACACGGCCCAGACUCCUACGGGAGGCAGCAGUGGGGAAUAUUGCGCAAGUGGGCGGAAGCCUGACGC